rnacentral:rRNA from 1 species
UGCCUUACACAUGCAAGUCGAACGACGUCAGGGGGCAACUCCUGGCGAGUGGCGAACGGGUGAGUAAUGCAUCGGAACGUGUCCUCUUGUGGGGGAUAACUAGUCGAAAGAUUGGCUAAUACCGCAUGAGAUCGCGAGAUGAAAGCGGGGGCUCCGCAAGGACCUCGCGCGAGAGGAGCGGCCGAUGCCCGAUUAGCUAGUUGGUGAGGUAACGGCUCACCAAGGCGACGAUCGGUAGCUGGUCUGAGAGGACGACCAGCCACACUGGGACUGAGACACGGCCCAGACUCCUACGGGAGGCAGCAGUGGGGAAUUUUGGACAAUGGGCGCAAGCCUGAUCCAGCCAUGCCGCGUGUGUGAAGAAGGCCUUCGAGUUGUAAAGCUC